ensembl:miRNA
CCUGUUAGGGGAAAAGUCCUGAUCGGGGAACCCACAGCCCCGUUCCUGGGCUUCUCCUCUGUAG